CUAUAAGAGGUCUCCGGUUUAUUAGACAUUUGGUCUAAAUAUAUAGGGUUUUGGUAACCCAGGUUAGUAUCUAAGAUAGAUACAGGUUUUUGAGACCAUAAAAGGUCUCCGGUUUAUUAUAGGGUUUUGGUAACCCAGGUUAGUAUCUAAGAUAGAUACAGGGUAUCUCAGGUAGAUACAGGUUUUGAGACCAUAAGAGGUCUCCGGUUUAUUAAGUCUAUAGGUGUUCUGAUCUAUAAGUAUAACCCAAACUUCUCUUUCUCCCGGUCACCUUUGUUUGUCUUAAGUGUUUUUUUGUGGGUGAUUGUUUGUCUAUAUUGGGGACACACUUUGGUAAGUUAGUAGUGUCCCCACUCUGAGUCAGCAGUAUGGGAAAUGUGAGUUCAUGUCCUGAGUGACCAAUAUAUGUAUGUGUAUAUAUGUGUGUGUAUGUAUAUAUGUGUAUAUGUAUGUAUAUAUGUGUGUGUAUAUGUAUAUGUGUA